rnacentral:rRNA from 1 species
UACGAAGGGGGCUAGCGUUGCUCGGAAUCACUGGGCGUAAAGGGCGCGUAGGCGGUCAGCACAAGUCAGUUGUGAAAUCUCCGGGCUUAACUCGGAAAGGUCAACUGAUACUGUGCGACUAGAGUGCAGAAGGGGCAACUGGAAUUCUUGGUGUAGCGGUGAAAUGCGUAGAUAUCAAGAGGAACACCUGCGGCGAAGGCGGGUUGCUGGGCUGACACUGACGCUGAAGCGCGAAAGCCAGGGGAGCGAACGGG